GAUGAACGCUGGCGGCGUGCCUAACACAUGCAAGUCGAGCGCUCUCUUCGGAGAGAGCGGCGGACGGGUGAGUAACGCGUGGGUAACCUGCCCUGUACACACGGAUAACAUACCGAAAGGUAUGCUAAUACGAGAUAACAUAUGAAACUCGCAUGUUUUUUAUAUCAAAGCGUUAGCGGUACAGGAUGGACCCGCGUCUGAUUAGCUAGUUGGUGGGGUAACGGCUCACCAAGGCGACGAUCAGUAGCCGACCUGAGAGGGUGAUCGGCCACAUUGGAACUGAGACACGGUCCAAACUCCUACGGGAGGCAGCAGUGGGGAAUAUUGCACAAUGGGCGCAAGCCUGAUGCAGCAACGCCGCGUGAGCGAUGAAGGCCUUCGGGUCGUAAAGCUCUGUCCUAAGGGAAGAUAAUGACGGUACCUUAGGAGGAAGCCCCGGCUAACUACGUGCCAGCCGCCGCGGUAAAAC
rnacentral:rRNA from 1 species